GUGGGGUAAUGGCCUACCAAGGCGACGACGGGUAGCCGACCUGAGAGGGUGACCGGCCACACUGGGACUGAGACACGGCCCAGACUCCUACGGGAGGCAGCAGUGGGGAAUCUUGCGCAAUGGGCGAAAGCCUGACGCAGCGACACCGCGUGGGGGAUGAAGGCCUUUCAGGUCGUAAACCCCUUUCGGCAGGGACGAAGCGAUCUCGUGACGGUACCUGCAGAAGAAGCACCGGCCAACUACGUGCCAGCAGCCGCGGUAACACGUAGGAGGCGAGCGUUGUCCGGAAUCAUUGGGCGUAAAGAGCGCGCAGGCGGCUUGGCAAGUCGGGUGUGAAAUCCCGGGGCUCAACCCCGUGACUGCAUUCGAUACUGUCAGGCUAGAGGUAGGUAGGGGAGAUCGGAAUUCCUGGUGUAGCGGUGAAAUGCGCAGAUAUCAGGAGGAACACCGGUGGCGAAGGCGGAUCUCUGGGCCUUACCUGACGCUCAGGCGCGAAAGCUAGGGGAGCGAACAGGAUUAGAUACCCUGGUAGUCCUAGCCGUAAACGUUGGGUGCUAGGUGUGGGCGGAUAUCAACCCCGUCCGUGCCGAAGCUAACGCAUUAAGCA
rnacentral:rRNA from 1 species